AUACGGAGGGUGCGAGCGUUAAUCGGAAUUACUGGGCGUAAAGCGUACGUAGGCGGUUGGUUAAGUUAGAUGUGAAAGCCCCGGGCUUAACCUGGGAACUGCAUUUAAAACUGGCGAACUAGAGUUGAGUAGAGGGGAGUGAAAUUUCAGGUGUAGCGGUGAAAUGCGUAGAGAUCUGAAGGAACACCAGUGGCGAAGGCGACUCCCUGGACUCGAACUGACGCUGAGGUACGAAAGCGUGGGUAGCAAACGGGAUUAGAUACCCCAGUAGUCC
rnacentral:rRNA from 1 species